UACAGAGACUGCAAGCGUUAUUCGGAUUCACUGGGCGUAAAGCGUGCGCAGGCGGUUUUGUAAGCCAGAUGUGAAAUCCCCGGGCUUAACCUGGGAAUGGCAUUUGGGACUGCAAGGCUCGAGUGCGGCAGAGGAGACUGGAAUUCCUGGUGUAGCAGUGAAAUGCGUAGAUAUCAGGAGGAACACCGAUGGCGAAGGCGGCGACCUGGGUCGAUACUGACGCUGAUGCGCGAAAGCGUGGGGAGCAAACAGG
rnacentral:rRNA from 1 species